GAGGGUUUAGCUCGGUGGUAGAGCACAUGCUUAGUGUGCAUGAGGACCGGGGGUCAAUCCCCAGCACCUCCA
rnacentral:tRNA from 1 species